GCACACCCAGAAGCGCACCGUCGCUCUUCAGGUUUGCGCUUCGGGUUUCAGAGUGCGCUGCGUGCUCCAGGACUUUGCGUGAGAGGAAAUCGUGACAAUCAUGAAGCUUCAGCAGCUUUACUGAAAUGUGCAGUCUGAUGAUAAAAACCACAGAUGACUUUGAAGUGUUUGGUUUAUAAUCCAAUUAAAGUUGACUUCCUUUUCCUUAUGGUGGCACGGACACACAGCGGGCAGUGUUUCUGCCUCACCACGAGUGGAGAAUAUUUGGGAAUUUGUACUACAUUUCUAUACUUAAGUAUUAUUUGGGGUAUUUAUACUUGAGUAAUGAUUGGGUAUUCCUGAAAUAUUAUGGAAUAAUGUAUUACUAGUGAAGAGGAUGAAGCUAGACACAGACUUAGCGAUGCUGCUCUUGGACAGGUGUGUAAAUGCUUUACAUAAGAAUUCAUGUAGACAGUCGAUGUACACUCCACAGUUCUUGUGCGUGUGUGUUGACGAGAGAGUCAGCUGCCGGGAUGCCCAUGGGAACCCAUUGGGGAAAGUGCAGUACAGGGGUAUGGAUGUGAUAGCUGAUGAAGUACUGGAGAUCUCCUGCAGGAGAAAAAAGAAGUGCAGAUCUGGGUUUAUAAGGUGGAGUUUCAUGUAAAUGAGGGGGGCUUUAGCGUCAUCAUUGGUCCAUUACAGCUCCUCUUCUAGCCAAUCAAUCGAAGAGGGGAGGUGACGUCACUCCACUGCGACUCGUGGCUGUGUGUUGACAGGUGAAGAAAGAUGGAUGACCGUCAGGCAGCAAAUCCCGGACAAUUACAGGCAGUGCUUUUAGAGAGGCUUUUAUCACGACUACAGGAAGCCAUGCAGCGCGUGCCUCUGGACCUGGAUUAUUUAUAUUUUUUCUGCACAAAUAGCAUGAUAUUGAUUAGUUCACACACAAAUCAUGAACAUCUGCCUCAAGAGGUAGUGCAAUGUCUUUCAAACCUGUGUUCUGUUCUUUGUAAUCGACUUUCCUCAUCAGUUGUGAAUGAAAUGGCUGGACCAACGGGACGUCCCAAACUCGGUGUGUCUGAACAGCAACUUAGACAUUUGAUUGAAAUUGGACUGAGUGUACACUUCAUUUCAAAACUGCUUGGCAUGUCAUCACGAACAGUUGAACGGAGAAUGCAAGAGUUUGGCAUUACAGUGAGGGUUCCCAUCGUCAUUUUUCCUUCUCGCCUUUACUGGAGCGGCUGGAUUUGGAUCUGAACACUCACUAUCAGCUCGCGCAUCUCACUGCUGACAUCACGGUGCCACUUGCUACUUGACGUUCUUCGCACCCCCUCUGAAAAUGGAAAUGCGGGGUCCCCCCCCCCAUCUCAGAUACAGAAUCUGCCCCGCGAAUGUGUGUAUUGACGCCUCUACACAAACAGACCCUAUGCCUGACCCUCCCUCCAGCUUUCAGUCUGAGGAUGAUGUCACCUUCUCUGAUCUGGGCUCUGACCAUUCUUCCCUCUUCUCACCUGCCAGUCCCGAGUACUCUCCUCCUUACACCUCGGUCGGCUAUCCCACGUUCCCAGGACCCCCCUUUUAUCACCCGUUUUCUCCCUACCGCUCCCCUCAGGAUUAUACUCCCACCAGUCCUGUGAAUUUUCAAAAUUACAUGCUGUUCAUACUUAUUUUGUGAACCUCAAUAAACCUACAU